UUCUCAUUUAGUUUCCCAAGAACCUUCUGUUGUUGUUUUUAAUUACUUGCAGGAAAGUACGGCUCUAUUCUCGUAUUCUUUAAUACGCCGGUACUUUAACGGUCGACGAGUCCAAAGAUUGCGAUCGCAUGGUCCGUUCACAAUCAACAUUUUCGUCAACGGCACACAGGCCCAGUCCCGAGGUCAACAACGGCAACACGACAAUGACCGCCGCCGUAAUUAUUAUUAGCUAAGAUAAGAUUAUUGUUGUGCGCAAAUUGUGUGCACCCGUACUUAUUAUCUUUAUUUUUCACAUUUUUACCACGACUUGGAUUGG